rnacentral:tRNA from 1 species
GCUAGCGUGGCCGUGUGGUUAUGAUGCGCGCGCUUUGAACACGUUUUUGGUCAUGAACAUGGGUUCUAAUCCCGUCGUUGGCA